UCUCAAGCGUGAGGUAAGGGCAUUUGGUGGAUGCCUUGGCAUGCAGAGGCGAUGAAGGACGUGGCACGCUGCGAUAAGCUGCGGUGAGGUGUGAGCAACCUUUGACCCGCAGAUUUCCGAAUGGGGAAACCCACCUAUCCCGAUGACCUUGACCGGACGGUUCGCCGGCCGAUCCAAGGUCAUCGGGGACAGGUAUCACUUAGCUGAAUCAAAUAGGCUUCGUGAAGCGAACCCGGAGAACUGAAACAUCUCAGUACCCGGAGGAAAAGACAUCAACCGAGAUUCCGUGAGUAGUGGCGAGCGAAAGCGGACCAGGCCAGUGCCUGGAAGUAGAAUAGCAGAACAGUUUGGAAAGACUGGCCGGAGCGGGUGAUAGCCCCGUAUGCGAAAUGACACUUUCAGGACUUGAGUAGGGCGGGACACGUGUAAUCCUGUCUGAACAUGGGGGGACCACCCUCCAAGCCUAAAUACUCCUGCAUGACCGAUAGCGAACUAGUACCGUGAGGGAAAGGUGAAAAGCACCCCGAUGAGGGGAGUGAAACAGUACCUGAAACCG
rnacentral:rRNA from 1 species